AGAUAUCGAGGAUCUACCCAUAUAAAGAAAGAGGUUAUGAAAUUUCCUAAAUUUACAAAACCAAAUUAAUUAUUUUAUCAACACAAAAAUAUAACGAU
rnacentral:rRNA from 1 species